CCUACGGGUGGCAGCAGUGAGGAAUAUUGGUCAAUGGGCGAGAGCCUGAACCAGCCAAGUCGCGUGAGGGAGUACUGCCCUAUGGGUUGUAAACCUCUUUUGUCGGGGAGCAAAAGCCGGACGUGUCCGGCCGUGAGAGUACCCGAAGAAAAAGCAUCGGCUAACUCCGUGCCAGCAGCCGCGGUAAUACGGAGGGGGCAAGCGUGAGCAGGAUUUACUGGGUGGAAAGGGAGCGUAGACGGUUAUGUAAGUCUGGAGUGAAAGUCCGGGGCCCAAACCCGGGACUGCUUUGGAAACUGUGUAACUGGAGUACAGGAGAGGCAUGCGGAAUUCCUGGUGUAGCGGUGAAAUGCGUAGAUAUCAGGAGGAACACCGGCGGCGAAGGCGGCCUGCUGGACUGAAACUGACGUUGAGGCUCGAAAGCGUGGGGAGCAAACAGGAUUAGAUACCCCUGUAGUC
rnacentral:rRNA from 1 species